CCUACGGGAGGCAGCAGUGGGGAAUAUUGCACAAUGGGGGAAACCCUGAUGCAGCGACGCCGCGUGAGUGAAGAAGUAUUUCGGUAUGUAAAGCUCUAUCAGCAGGGAAGAAAAUGACGGUACCUGAUUAAGAAGCCCCGGCUAACUACGUGCCAGCAGCCGCGGUAAUACGUAGGGGGCAAGCGUUAUCCGGAUUUACGGGGUGUAAAGGGAGCGUAGACGGCAGCACAAGUCUGGAGUGAAAUGCCGGGGCUUAACCCCGGACCUGCUUUGGAAACUGUGCAGCUAGAGUGCAGGAGAGGUAAGUGGAAUUCCUAGUGUAGCGGUGAAAUGCGUAGAUAUUAGGAGGAACACCAGUGGCGAAGGCGGGUUACUGGACUGUAACUGACGUUGAGGCUCGAAAGCGUGGGGAGCAAACAGGAUUAGAUACCCUGGUAGUC
rnacentral:rRNA from 1 species